rnacentral:rRNA from 1 species
CCUACGGGUGGCUGCAGUGAGGAAUAUUGGUCAAUGGACGGAAGCCUGAACCAGCCAAGUAGCGUGCGGGAUGAAUGCCCUACGGGUCGUAAACCGCUUUUGCACGGGGAUAACACCCUCCACUUGUGGAGGUCUGCAUGUACCGUGUGAAUAAGGGCCGGCUAAUUCCGUGCCAGCAGCCGCGGUAAUACGGAAGGCCCGAGCGUUAUCCGGAUUCAUUGGGCUUAAAGGGAGCGUAGGCGGGCGUUCAAGUCAGCUGUAAAAUCGCGCGGCUCAACCGCGCCUCGCCGUUGAAACUGGAGGCCUUGAGUUCACAACGGGGAGGGGGAAUUGGGGGUGUGGCGGUGAA